rnacentral:rRNA from 1 species
CUACGGGAGGCUCCAGUGGGGAAUAUUGCACAAUGGGCGCAAGCCUGAUGCAGCCAUGCCGCGUGUAUGAAGAAGGCCUUCGGGUUGUAAAGUACUUUCAGCGGGGAGGAAGGGAGUAAAGUUAAUACCUUUGCUCAUUGACGUUACCCGCAGAAGAAGCACCGGCUAACUCCGUGCCAGCAGCCGCGGUAAUAGGGAGGGUGGAAGCGUUAAUCGGAAUUACUGGGCGUAAAGCGCACGCAGGCGGUUUGUUAAGUCAGAUGUGAAAUCCCCGGGCUCAACCUGGGAACUGCAUCUGAUACUGGCAAGCUUGAGUCUCGUAGAGGGGGGUAGAAUUCCAGGUGUAGCGGUGAAAUGCGUAGAGAUCUGGAGGAAUACCGGUGGCGAAGGCGGCCCCCUGGACGAAGACUGACGCUCAGGUGCGAAAGCGUGGGGAGCAAACAGGAUUAGAUACCCGUGUAGUC